AGUGAACGCUGGCGGCAGGCCUAACACAUGCAAGUCGAACGGCAGCACAGCAGUAGCAAUACUGUGGGUGGCGAGUGGCGGACGGGUGAGGAAUACAUGGGGAAUCUACCCUGUCGUGGGGGAUAACGUAGGGAAACUUACGCUAAUACCGCAUACGACCGAGAGGUGAAAGCGGCGGACCGCAAGGCGUCGUGCGACUGGAUGAGCCCAUGUCGGAUUAGCUAGNGGCGGGGUAAAGGCCCACCAAGGCGACGAUCCGUAGCUGGUCUGAGAGGAUGAUCAGCCACACUGGAACUGAGACACGGUCCAGACUCCUACGGGAGGCAGCAGUGGGGAAUNUUGGACAAUGGGCGCAAGCCUGAUCCAGCCAUGCCGCGU
rnacentral:rRNA from 1 species